GAUAAGAACGUAGCGAAAUGCGAUACGUAAUGUGAAUUGCAGAAUUCAGUGAAUCAUCGAAUCUUUGAACGCAUAUUGCGCUCUCUGGUAUUCCGGAGAGCAUGCUUGUUUGAGUAUCAGUAAACACCUCAACUCCCUUUUCUUUUUUGAAAUUGGAGCUGGACUUGAGUGAUCCCAACGCUUUCUUCCAAGAAAGUGGCGGGUUGCUUGAAAUGCAGGUGCAGCUGAACUUUUCUCUGAGCUAUAAGCAUAUCUAUUUAGUCUGCCUAAAAAACAGAUUAUUACCUUUGCUGCAGCUAACAUAAAGGAGACUAGUUCUUGUGCUGACUGAUGCAGGAUUCACAGAGACAGCUUCGGCUGACUUUGUAAACUCGAUCUCAAAUCAAGUAAGACUACCCGCUGAACUUAAGCAUAUCAAUAAGCGGAGGA
rnacentral:misc_RNA from 1 species